ACAUCAAUUGCGAGGCUGGAAUGCAGCUGUACUCCAUCAUCACUGUCCCCAACGUCUCUCUGCUACUCCUUUCUCAGCCCUUAUUUACCCAUCCUCCCUUCUCCAUUUUUAGUAGAGUCACAGCCUGAGAGAGAGAUGCAAUUCCAGCAGCAGCAGAUAAAACACAAGAAACCCAUUUGGAGGAAAGUGUCAUUGCUUCAAAACAUGGUGUAAAAGCCCUUCUGACCUAUCAAGCCAAAGAAACCUCAGUGUCAUUCCAGAUAAUCGGAUAAAAGCUCCUCCCACCAGUAGGUUUGGAGUAUCUUUUCAAAAACUUUUGUUAAAUCUUUUUCCAUCUUUGGUGAUUGAUCGAUCUGAGUUAUUUGGGUUUUGUUUCAGAGCAAACCCAAGAAACCCUUCCCUGGACAAAUAUCAUUUCAAAUCACAUAGUAUAAGG